GACGAACGCUGGCGGCGUGCUUAACACAUGCAAGUCGAACGGAAAGGCCCUGCUUUUGUGGGGUGCUCGAGUGGCGAACGGGUGAGUAACACGUGAGUAACCUGCCCUUGACUUUGGGAUAACUUCAGGAAACUGGGGCUAAUACCGGAUAGGAGCUCCUGCUGCAUGGUGGGGGUUGGAAAGUUUCGGCGGUUGGGGAUGGACUCGCGGCUUAUCAGCUUGUUGGUGGGGUAGUGGCUUACCAAGGCUUUGACGGGUAGCCGGCCUGAGAGGGUGACCGGCCACAUUGGGACUGAGAUACGGCCCAGACACCUACGGGAGGCAGCAGUGGGGAAUAUUGCACAAUGGGCGGAAGCCUGAUGCAGCAACGCCGCGUGCGGGAUGACGGCCUUCGGGUUGUAAACCGCUGUCGCCUGUGACGAAGCGUGAGUGACGGUAAUGGGUAAAGAAGCACCGGCUAACUACGUG
rnacentral:rRNA from 1 species